UUGCACAUUUCAAUGGCAUUGGCAAACUCACUGAUCUAAAACCAGCAAAUAACCAAUGGAUAGAGCGUGUUUUUCACAUCAAUGAUUUUGAAGCAAGAAUUUUUAUAAUGAGAAGAGAUUUUAAAAAAUGGUAAUAAAAAUCUUUUACAAAUCGAAUUGUAACGUGUUUAAACUAGUUUUCAUAACAAGGAAAUGUUCUUUUCUAUAUGAAAGUUGAAAGAUAUGGCUUUCCAUGCAUUUCCAUUCUAAUGAGUUUUAGAACGUUUUAAACAUUAAUAAUGAGUGUUGAAGCGGCAAUAUUGAUGUGACCUCAUUAGUUAUUCACUCGCAAAUUAAACAGCAGAAAGAGAGGCCACUGAGGAUCAAUUUCUAUGUAGACAAUGUACGUAUCCUUUCCCACUUAAAACCAAAAGCGCUGAGAACUUUUUCCAACACGUCAACACCAAAACAGUAGUUUUGUGAUGGUCCCACUAAUAUGGCCGUCAUUGUUUCAGUUCUACAUAACAGACCGUUAUCCAGUCAUAGUUUUGAGCUCAGUGGCCAACUCCCUAUAUAGUGCUCUAUCUUGAAAUAGCGAUGGAAAUCACAUAUACACAGGAAAAAAAUAAAAUACCAUUAAAGCUGAACAAUUAAACAGCAUGGUCUUUACCAAUAAUGUAUGGGAGUUUAGUUUUUCCAUGCAUGAAUGAUAUAAAAAUUCAGUUUUUCCAUGAAUGGUAAAAAUUCAGUUUUUCCAUGAAUGGUAUAAAAAUUCAGUUUUUCCAUGAAUGGUAUAAAAGUUCAGUUUUUCCAUAGUUUCUACAUGGUAAACUUUAAAAACUCUUCAAAUCUCAUUAUUUGAAAUUUUUUCCCUGUGAUAUACGGCUACUAUCCAUUACUACAUUUAUAUAAACUUCUUAUUAUUGGAUGUUUGUAGCAUAUCAUUUUAUGCUUGAUUUAGGAACAGAUUACAUGGACAUUUUCAACUCAAGCUAAAAUUUCAACCCAGUCCGGGCUUCGCACAAAAUCCUUGUAGAACAGAGCACCAGACAAAAUUUCAGCCGUGAUAUAAAUUUCAGCCCGUGUUGAAACUUCAUGAUCCUUCGGGGUUUGAACUACCCGGGAUGAAAAUUUCAUCUCCGUUGACCGGCUUGAAAAUCGUCAUGUGCAAUCGACAAGGAAUUUCAGCCCGGGUUUAAAAAGCAAUCGAUAUAAAAUAUUUAUAUGGCUUUAUUUUUGCGACUAGUGCAACCAUAAUCUCGUACACGAAGUCAAAUAUUCGAAAUAAUAUUUUAAAUGAUUUAAAAAGAGGAAUCAACUUUCUAUUGAAAUUGAGCCUGGGUUGAAAAGUUUUCAAGUAAUUGGCCUCUAAUAUAUAUCUUUCAUUUCGUAAUUGUAAAUGUGUGCUCUAUGCCUUUUUGUCUUUCAAUGCUAAUCGGCUAAAACAGAUCAUUCGCUCUUGUCUUACAAUUGCUACUUUCUUAAUACUCAUUUAAGGAAUAUUUCACAUUUACUGUAGUUUAAUUAUUUUGUUUUAAUUAUAAUGAUUAUUGUUAUUUUGUGCCGUGUAUUUGUAACAUGUUAUUGCAGUUAUAUUAUGUGCGCGAAUAUUGAUUCAAACAGGCCGUUAUUAUAGAUUAUACUUCAAUUACUGUAGAUUUACAAUUGUUCAAUAUCUAAAAAAAUCAUUUGAUAAAGUUUGCACCAUUAUCACUAUUUGUUAUCAUUAGAUAAUUGUUACUACGAUCAUCAUUCUGAUUAUUAUUGUAAUGGUCCGAUGAUUAUGAUUAUUAUUUACGAUAUUAUGGCUUGAUUAUUAUUAUUAUAUAAUGAUAAUUAUUUAUUUCCUACUAUUAAGAAUUGUGAACAUGUGACUGGUAUAAUAAUAUGUUCAUGACUGCACAGAAAAAUAUUUUGCUCAUUAUAAUAGUUUGUGCUAGUUUCCCUAAACAGUACUUUGUGUAUUUUUUCCUGUAACAUAAAAUGUGUCGCCGUAUUAAUUUUUAUCAAAACGCAUGCAUGUUUAUGUUUAUGUUAACAUUGAAUGUUUUCAUAUCCAAUGCCGCCAGAUUAUCCAAAAAACCAUUGCCUGCUAAACACAGUCUAUAUCACCGACAAAGCAAAGAAAGAUGGAUUUACUUUUUGUGAGAAAGAAACAUCAACAUGGCUAUCGAUAUUUACUUCUAUUUAUCUAUCUCCAAUUCAAUUAGGAUGAAAUUCAUGAUGCAUAGAUGGCUGUUAAAAAAUAUACGCCUUCAUCGCAGCUGUGGUAAGCGUUUCUCGACAAGGCUAUGACCUUUUCGUGGCCUAACAAAAGUAAAGCGUAAUGAAGUCAGACAUAUAACAGUGGGCCCAAAAGCUAACUAAAAUAUGUACUGAUGUUAUAAAAGAACCAUCAACUUGACCACUCUCAGGCGAAGUCAUACUACCAAGUAUAGCCAUCAAGCAAGAUGCAUUUGUUAUGCAAGCACUUCUCACUCAAACGCACCAAGCUAUACUUAAAUGCUAACAUACCCUCACUUUAAAGACAGCACGAAUAGGCCAAGAAAUGUCAGAAAAGAGAAUAUAGUCUACCCAUCAAAGUCUCGAAAUAUGCCAUCUUCACAACACUUCUCGACAACUGGCGAAAUGGAAAAGGAGACCUUGCUUAUAAACGUUUAGUAUUUUUGCACAAGUGAACAUAACAAAUCCUACAAGUUGAUUUGUCAAAUUUGACGUAUUA
rnacentral:lncRNA from 1 species